rnacentral:rRNA from 1 species
AUUGAACGCCGGCGGCAGGCCUAACACAUGCAAGUCGAGCGGAUGAAGGGAGCUUGCUCCUGGAUUCAGCGGCGGACGGGUGAGUAAUGCCUAGGAAUCGGCCUGGUAGUGGGGGAUAACGUCCGGAAACGGGCGCUAAUACCGCAUACGUCCUGAGGGAGAAAGUGGGGGAUCUUCGGACCUCACGCUAUCAGAUGAGCCUAGGUCGGAUUAGCUAGUUGGUGGGGUAAAGGCCUACCAAGGCGACGAUCCGUAACUGGUCUGAGAGGAUGAUCAGUCACACUGGAACUGAGACACGGUCCAGACUCCUACGGGAGGCAGCAGUGGGGAAUAUUGGACAAUGGGCGAAAGCCUGAUCCAGCCAUGCCGCGUGUGUGAAGAAGGUCUUCGGAUUGUAAAGCACUUUAAGUUGGGAGGAAGGGCAGUAAGUUAAUACCUUGCUGUUUUGACGUUACCAACAGAAUAAGCACCGGCUAACUCCGUG